rnacentral:rRNA from 1 species
UACGUAGGGUGCAAGCGUUGUCCGGAAUUAUUGGGCGUAAAGAGCGUGUAGGCGGCCCGAUUAGUCCGCUGUGAAAGUCCAGGGCUCAACCCUGGAAUGCCGGUGGAUACUGUCGGGCUAGAGUCCGGAAGGGGCGAGUGGAAUUCCUGGUGUAGCGGUGAAAUGCGCAGAUAUCAGGAGGAACACCAAUGGCGAAGGCAGCUCGCUGGGACGUGACUGACGCUGAGACGCAAAAGCGUGGGGAGCAAACAGG